rnacentral:rRNA from 1 species
UGGGGAAUAUUGGACAAUGGGCGCAAGCCUGAUCCAGCCAUGCCGCGUGAGUGAUGAAGGCCCUAGGGUUGUAAAGCUCUUUCACCGGUGAAGAUAAUGACGGUAACCGGAGAAGAAGCCCCGGCUAACUUCGUGCCAGCAGCCGCGGUAAUACGAAGGGGGCUAGCGUUGUUCGGAUUUACUGGGCGUAAAGCGCACGUAGGCGGACUAUUAAGUCAGGGGUGAAAUCCCGGGGCACAACCCCGGAACUGCCUUUGAUACUGGUAGGCUUGAGUUCGAGAGAGGGGAGUGGAAUUCCGAGUGUAGAGGUGAAAUUCGUAGAUAUUCGGAGGAACACCAGUGGCGAAGGCGGCUCACUGGCUCGAUACUGACGCUGAGGUGCGAAAGCGUGGGGAGCAAACAGG